AAUCAAGUGUCAGAAGGGCGUUUAGUGGAUGCCUAGGCAUGUAGAGGCGAUGAAGGACGUAGCACGCUGCGAUAAGUCUCGGGGAACCGCGAGCAGGUUUUGAUCCGAGAAUUUCCGAAUGGGGAAACCCACCUUUACGAACCCUGGCGGUCGCUUAGCCGGUUUACCGGUUAAUCGAUCACCAGAGUUUGUAGGAGGUAUCUAAUUCUGAAUACAUAGGGAUUAGAAGCAAACCCGGGGAACUGAAACAUCUAAGUACCCGGAGGAAAGGACAUCAAUUGAGACUCCGUUAGUAGUGGCGAGCGAACGCGGAUCAGGCCAGUGCUCUUAUCAAUCGAACUCGAACCAUCUGGAAAGUUGGGCCGGAGUGGGUGACAGCCCCGUAGAGGUAGGAAAGAUAAGAGACUUGAGUAGGGCGGGACACGUGAAAUCCUGUCUGAACAUGGGGGGACCAUCCUCCAAGCCUAAGUACUCCUACAUGACCGAUAGU
rnacentral:rRNA from 1 species